AGCGAACGCUGGCGGCAGGCUUAACACAUGCAAGUCGAGCGGGCGUAGCAAUACGUCAGCGGCAGACGGGUGAGUAACGCGUGGGAACGUACCUUUUGGUUCGGAACAACCCAGGGAAACUUGGGCUAAUACCGGAUAAGCCCUUAAGGGGAAAGAUUUAUCGCCGAAAGAUCGGCCCGCGUCUGAUUAGCUAGUUGGUGAGGUAAUGGCUCACCAAGGCGACGAUCAGUAGCUGGACUGAGAGGAUGACCAGCCACAUUGGGGCUGAGACACGGCCCAAACUCCUACGGGAGGCAGCAGUGGGGAAUAUUGGACAAUGGGCGCAAGCCUGAUCCAGCCAUGCCGCGUGAGUGAUGAAGGCCCUAGGGUUGUAAAGCUCUUUUGUGCGGGAAGAUAAUGACGGUACCGCAAGAAUAAGCCCCGGCUAACUUCGUGCCAGCAGCCGCAGUAAGAC
rnacentral:rRNA from 1 species